ACUCAGGGGCACUCAACCACUAAGCCAUGUCCCCAGCCCUAUUUUGUGUUUUAUUUAGAGAUAGGCUGUCACUGAAUUGCUUAGUACCUCACUUUUGCUGAGGCUGGCUUUGAACUUGCAAUCCUCCUGACUCAGCCUCCCCAGCUGCUAGGAUUACAGAUGUGUGCCACCAUGCCUGGCAGAUAAAAUUUUUAACAGAGAAGUGCUGGAUUAAGAAAUGUAUGGGCUUGUCAACCAAAGACAGAAGGCUGGCUACGCUUUGGACAGCAUGGAAUAUUUUUUGGAAAGUAAUCCUGGAGCCAUAAAUGGAAAAAAAAAAAAAAAGGACAAUCUUAAGACCAAGGCCCACCAUGGAAAAGCAAGCCAUGGGGUCUAUAAACAUUGAAAACUAAUAUUUUCCUUUUUUCUCAUAAUAUUUCAAUCAUUUGUUAGUUUUCAGAAUUUAGUUAUCCUUUUUAUUUUCAAAAAUUUUCUGGAAUCAUGUCAAGAAAAAUGAAUAAAACAACAACAGCCCUGCUACCUGGCAAAGGAUUAAAACAUGACUUCAAAAACAGAUUCUAUAAAACAUGCCAGCAUUAACCAGAGUCUUGAUGAGGACCCAGACACAGCCUGUUGUAGAUAAGAACAAUUGUACAGAACACAGGAGACUAAAAUCCUACUUUCACUCUGCUUCUCUGUGUUGUCUUGGACCUCACAAUAAGACCCAGGAACUGCUCAGAGGAAAAUCACUACACUUUAGCUCAUUGACUAGGGGUCACUACUGAGAAGAUUGUCUCCUGUCACUGUUUCCAAAGCACAUUUUUUUCCAUCUGUUUUAAUUUUUCUCCCUAAUAUUAGGACUGGGUUCCCAUUUCCUGUAUGGACAUAACUUUUUUAUAAUAAUAAGGGAAAUUUUUCCUGCUUUAAAAUUUUUUCAACUUCAUAAAGGUGAAGUUGACAAAUAAAGGUAGUAUAUCUUUAGGAAGUACAGUGUGAUAUUGUGUUAAAUGUAUUUAUUGUGAAAUGAUGAACUCACCCUAAAUUAUACAUCUAUCACCUUAAACACUUAUCAUUCUUUUUGUUGUAAGGACAUUGAUGAUCUCUCUUCAAAAUUUUCAAGUUCAGUAAAGAAUUAACUCUAGUGACCAUGCUAUGCUGUAUGUUAAAACUCCAGAUCUAUUUCAUUUUGAAUAAUUGAAAACUGGUUCCCUUUGAUGGACAGCUCCCCAUUCCUCUCUACCCUGGCAACCAACCACCAUUCCACUUUGUUCCUAAGCAUUUUGACUUUUUUCCAGAUUCCACUAUAAGAGAGAUCAUGCAGUAUUUUUCUUUGGAUUCCUGGAUUAUUUUCUUUAUCAUAAUGACUUCUGAGGUCAUUGAUGAUUGACAUAGUU
ensembl:lincRNA